AACUGGCCUGUGUAAGCGGAUGGGCUCGGCCUCAAGGACAGGGUGCUCGGCUGAAAAAAAAGCUAGCGGCGAUCACCGGUGCCAGGGCUCUCCAGAAACGGAGCCCAUCUAACCAAUGCCCAGCACACUCGCUCUGCUCCACACACGAGACCACCUCCGACCCGCACUAAGUUGGCCAACUGCACUCUGGAGGCGGCGGCAGCCAGCGAGGGAGAAGGGAAAGGCUGUCCCGGGACCCCGAGGAGGACUGCCCCGCCCCCGGGAACCGGGUGCGGCGUAAAACAACCCCGGCUCCGGGCCGACCCUUCCUGGCCCCUUGGAGGCCCAGGCGGGGCGGCGGGGGGCGACGCGGCAGGGGUCUCCGCGCCCAGGCUCCCGCGGAGCGGCCACACGUGGAGGUUCCCACUUUGGGGUCGCGGCCGCAGCAGCACCGGGCGGGAUGCUGUCCGCGCUGCCCGCGUACGGCCGCGGCCUGAGUGGAGACGCCUGCCCCCAGCCCCGAGGCCUCGGCCCCCGUCCGCCCUCUCUCCCUGCUCGGCGGCCUCGUACUCACGCUGACUUCAUGGCAGCAGGCUCCACGCCGCCCAAACGCGCAUGCGGGACGGCUGGCUGGCGAAGACUGCGGGACGUUAGGACCGGCAGCAAGAACUAGAACUUCGCGGCUAAGGCGCGGUGCUCUGCGAAGCCGGCGGCGACGCUAAGAGCCCAGGUGAGCUCCCGCCUGGCGCAUUUCAAACGGGCCAAUCAGCGCCCGUCCGCAGGGAGAGGCAGGACCUCCGCGGAAGUGACUUCGCUGCCGGAAGUGGCGCUUGUCUCCUAGGCGACCGACGCUGAAAGGGCCGCGGAGUCGCGUGUCAGGGCUGGAGGGAGAUCUUGAGGUCCUCCCAGUGACUGACCUGGCUCAUUCUCCGAAAGUGGUUGACAGGCCACUACGAGAGCUCUUGAGAGAAGCUUUGUGACAUGAAAUUCAUCAAAUGAAGCAAGAUUCAUUUUUAAAGAAUAAUACAAAGCUCCAGAGUAAUAUGCUUAAUCCAAAUGUUUAAAUAGAAUUUAAAACCACAUUUUAAGUAAAUUUAAAAUUAAUGAAAUAUCAAUAGUUUGCCUUAACAAGGACUUGCUUGAACCAUAUUCUCCUUUUAAAAUCACACACACAGAAUCAGUGUACAUUUAGAGAAAUUUCCCCAGCUGAAUAACAUUUUUGACAUGAAUUCAUUCAAAAGACACCAACCAUUAUGAAUAUUUUAGGCCAUGAUAAGCUGUAACCACCUCCGGCUUAUGGUGGUUAGGAUGUUGCAGCUUAAUGUUGACAUCUGGCAUGAAAAGCUUAUGGUCUGAGUCAUGUUUCUUUUUUAUGUAAUUCUGGCUUGGGAAUCCGAUACAGAGCAGCUGAGAAAUAAAUUAUGUUGCUGAGGCUGAAGAUGAUGCACAGAAGUAUGGCUCCAGCUAUCUGAGAGAAAGAGAAGGGCUUGGAGGUGGCCAGGAGCCAUUCCUUCCUCAGAGUCUUGUCCAGAAGUAUGGCUUCCAUCUGCAUGUGCGUGGCCAGGAUCACACACACGUGAAACAGCUGGUGACUGUGACCUAUGGCAAACACAAAAGGCCGUCAAGAUCAGCAAUGAAAAGGAAUGAGUACUGAUACAUGCUAUGGCAUUCAUGCUAAAAAUGAUGCUAAGUGAAAGAAACCAGACAGGAGACCACAUAUUAUAUAAAAUCUCCAGAAUAUGCAAAUCCAUAAAGACAGAGAGUAGAUUAGAGGCUGCCUCAAGCAGGGGGUGAGAAUAGGUAUUAACAGUGCAUGGGUCUGAUGGAGGGGAUGAAAAUGUUCUAAAACUGAUGUAUGGUGAAUUUACUGAAAAUAUCAUUAAAUUGUAUACUUGACA